CACGUAGGGCGCAAGCGUUGUCCGGAAUUAUUGGGCGUAAAGAGCUCGUAGGCGGCCUGUUGCGUCCGCUGUGAAAACUCGGGGCUUAACCCCGAGCCUGCAGUGGAUACGGGCGGGCUAGAGGUAGGUAGGGGAGAAUGGAAUUCCCGGUGUAGCGGUGAAAUGCGCAGAUAUCGGGAGGAACACCGGUGGCGAAGGCGGUUCUCUGGGCCUUACCUGACGCUGAGGAGCGAAAGCGUGGGGAGCGAACAGG
rnacentral:rRNA from 1 species